rnacentral:rRNA from 1 species
AAUCAGAAAGCCACGGCUAACUACGUGCCAGCAGCCGCGGUAAUACGUAGGUGGCAAGCGUUAUCCGGAAUUAUUGGGCGUAAAGCGCGCGUAGGCGGUGUUUUAAGUCUGAUGUGAAAGCCCACGGCUCAACCGUGGAGGGUCAUUGGAAACUGGAAAACUUGAGUGCAGAAGAGGAAAGUGGAAUUCCAUGUGUAGCGGUGAAAUGCGCAGAGAUAUGGAGGAACACCAGUGGCGAAGGCGACUUUCUGGUCUGUAACUGACGCUGAUGUGCGAAAGCGUGGGGAUCAAACAGGAUUAGAUACCCUGGUAGUCCACG